CCUACGGGAGGCAGCAGUGGGGAAUAUUGGACAAUGGGGGGAACCCUGAUCCAGCGACGCCGCGUGAGUGAAGAAGUAUUUCGGUAUGUAAAGCUCUAUCAGCAGGGAAGAAAGAAAUGACGGUACCUGACUAAGAAGCCCCGGCUAACUACGUGCCAGCAGCCGCGGUAAUACGUAGGGGGCAAGCGUUAUCCGGAUUUACUGGGUGUAAAGGGAGCGUAGACGGCGAUGCAAGUCUGAAGUGAAAGGCGGGGGCACAACCCCCGGACUGCUUUGGAAACUGUAUGGCUGGAGUGCAGGAGAGGUAGGUGGAAUUCGUGGUGUAGCGGUGAAAUGCGUAGAUAUUAGGAGGAACACCAGUGGCGAAGGCGGCUUACUGGACUGUAACUGACGUUGAGGCUCGAAAGCGUGGGGAGCAAACAGGAUUAGAUACCCGGGUAGUC
rnacentral:rRNA from 1 species